rnacentral:rRNA from 1 species
GACGAACGCUGGCGGCGUGCUUAACACAUGCAAGUCGAACGGAAAGGCCCUGCUUUUGUGGGGUGCUCGAGUGGCGAACGGGUGAGUAACACGUGAGUAACCUGCCCUUGCCUUUGGGAUAACUUCAGGAAACUGGGGCUAAUACCGGAUAGGAGCUCCUGCUGCAUGGUGGGGGUUGGAAAGUUUCGGCGGUUGGGGAUGGACUCGCGGCUUUUCAGCUUGUUGGUGGGGUAGUGGCUUACCAAGGCUUUGACGGGUAGCCGGCCUGUGAGGGUGACCGGCCACAUUGGGACUGAGAUACGGCCCAGACUCCUACGGGAGGCAGCAGUGGGGAAUAUUGCACAAUGGGCGGAAGCCUGAUGCAGCAACGCCGCGUGCGGGAUGACGGCCUUCGGGUUGUAAACCGCUUUCGCCUGUGACGAAGCGUGAGUGACGGUAAUGGGUAAAGAAGCACCGGCUAACUACGUG